AUGGUGGCCAUGGCAUGGUUGUUGGUUCUCUUGCCAUUAGCUACAUGGGCAUCCACUGCAUCUAGCUCCCUGGCGAAGGCAGGCUGCCCGGCGCGAUGCGGCGGCGUCGACAUCCCCUACCCGUUUGGCAUCGGGGCUGGCUGCUUCCGCCCGGGCUUUGAGAUCACCUGCGACAACAUGAUACCAUUUCUGCCGGAUGCCACCGUCGGCCACUCGCGCCCCGAGCCCGUGCCCGUGCUCAAUCUGACCGUCAUGCCGCAAGCGCAGGUCCGGGUGCUGCUGCCUGUGGCGUACCAGUGCUUCGACGCCGCCGGCAACGAGACGACCGGCAGCUUCGACCGCAGGCUGACGGUCAACCCGGUCGGUGUGUACCGCAUCUCCAGCACCGCCAAUGAGCUCUUUGUCCUGGGCUGCAGUACCUUCAUAUACGCCGGAAGAGGGAGGCCGGCGCUCCGGCGAAAGAACGUGACAACCUAUGCCUACUUCAGCGGGUGCGUGGCCUACUGCGACAGCGCCAAGAGCGCGCGGGAUGGCAUAUGUGACAGCAUCGGAUGCUGCCGCGUCGACAUCCCGCCGGCGCUCACCAACACUAGGAUGAGGUUCGGCAAGUGGCCGCACGCCGGCGUGGAGUUCAGCCCUUGCAACUACGCCUUCAUCGUCGAGAGGGGCCACUACGUCUUCAAGGCCGCCGACCUGAGGAGGAACCCAGAGUCAGACCCAGCCAGGCGCUGGACCAUGCCGCUUUGGCUUGACUGGGCCAUCCGCAACCACAGUAACUCCCUGUCGUGCCCCCGGGCGAAAGAGACGCUGGGAUACGCUUGCGUGAGUAAGUCCAGCGAGUGCGCGAAUUCAACCAAUGGGAUGGGAUAUUUCUGCAUAUUCACGAAAGGCUACCAGGGGAACCCAUACCUUCAUAGUGGAUGCACAGAUAUCGAUGAUUGCAAACAGCCACAAUUAUAUCCAUGCUUCGGCAAAUGUACCAACAUGGAUGGAUCUUUCGAGUGCAGGUGCCCACGAGGAUACAACGGCGAUGCCAGUGAACCUAAUGGAUGUGUGAAGUCCAUAAACACAAGUUUAAUGAUUGGUCUAUCAGUUUCUAGUGGACCAACUAUUAUACUUUUGUUUAUCAGCUCAAAGAUAAUAAUCAGCAAGCUUAAGCGUCAAAAGGAACAAAAAGUGAGGCAAAAGUUCUUCCAUCAAAAUCGUGGACAAUUGUUGCAACAAUUGGUAUCUCAUAGGUCAGACAUUGCAGAGAGGAUGAUUAUUCCUUUAAAGGAGCUGGAAAAGGCUACAAACAACUUUCAUCCAACUCGUGAACUUGGUGGUGGAGGGCAAGGUACCGUGUACAAAGGGAUUUUGUCAGACUUGCAUGUUGUGGCCAUCAAAAAGUCAAAUAUUGUGGUCAAUUGUGAGAUUAAAGAGUUUAUAAAUGAAGUUGCUAUGCUUUCACAGAUCAACCAUAGGAACAUCGUAAAGCUUUUUGGAUGUUGUCUUGAGACAGAAGUCCCGUUGUUGGCUUAUGAGUUCAUUUCUAAUGGAACCUUAUGUGAUUAUCUUCACAAGAAACCACUAAGAUCAAUACCUUGGAAAGACAUAUUAAGGAUUGCAAAUGAAAUUGGCAAAGCUAUUGCUUACCUUCACUCACGUGUUUCUGUCCCUGUAAUACACAGAGAUAUCAAGUCUACUAAUAUACUUCUUGAUGAUGCCUUGACUACAAAGGUGUCUGACUUUGGAGCUUCAAGACACAUCCCUAAGGAUCUAACGGGGAUAACAACAGCGGUGCAAGGAACUUUAGGAUAUUUAGACCCUACAUACUUUUAUUGUGGCCGGCUAACAGAAAAAAGUGAUGUUUAUAGCUUUGGAGUAAUUCUUGUUGAGUUGCUAACGAGGAAGAUGCCAAUUAUAUAUAGAUCCCCCAAAGAUGACGGGCUUGUUGCACAUUUCAUUGAACUACUUGGAGAAGGUAAAUUGGUAGAAAUACUAGAUCAGCAGGUCAUGGAGGAGGGAGGGAGCCAAGUGGAAGAAUUAGCUGCUCUAGCUGUAUCAUGCACAAAACUUAUAGCAGAGGAGCGACCGACCAUGACAUUAGUAGAGAUGACACUAGAAGCCCUCCGAGGACCUAAGGAGUAUGUUCGGGUUAGGGAUGAUCUACCAGUAGAAACACAUGAGGGGAGUUAUUCCACAAAAAGAUAUUCAUAUCCUAUAAGAAGAUCAAGCUUGGAGAACGCGAGCAGGCAAUAUACCCAGGAAGAAGAGGUCAUGUUCUCAGCAAGCUACCCCCGAUAG
rnacentral:rRNA from 1 species